AUGUUUACUGUGGCAGCACAUAUACUAAAAUUGGAACCAUAGAGAGCUUAGCAUGGCCUCUGCACAAGAAUGACACGCAGAUUCAUGCAGUGCGCCGUAUUUUU
ensembl:snRNA U6 U6 spliceosomal RNA